AUCGAUUCUCAGCCUUUUGGCUAAGAUCCAGGGCAGUUAUCUGUUCUUAUCAAUUUAAUAGCUGAUGCGUCCUCUAUCUGAGGACCACAUAUUAAAUGGAUUUGGGGAGCAGGGGGAUGGAAUGAGAGGCUCCUCCAUCCACACAUUGACCUAGCGUCGUAAUACCUCCAGGAACGGUGCCCCCCUU
ensembl:snRNA U2 U2 spliceosomal RNA